rfam:Ruminococcus sp. CAG:353 genomic scaffold, scf337
GUCGGUACAAAUAGCUAUGAGGUUCCACCUGUUCCCAUUCCGAACACAGAAGUUAAGCUCAUACACGCCGAAGAUACUAAGAUGGCGACGUCUUGGGAAAAUAGGGCUGCGCCGACA